rnacentral:tRNA from 1 species
GCGAUAUUAGCUCAGUUGGUAGAGCUUCUGAUUUCCAAUCAGAAUGUCAUCGGUUCGAGACCGAUAUAUCGCU